UGGGGAAUAUUGCACAAUGGGGGAAACCCUGAUGCAGCAACGCCGCGUGAGUGAUGACGGCCUUCGGGUUGCAAAGCUCUGUCUUCAGGGACGAUAAUGACGGUACCUGAGGAGGAAGCCACGGCUAACUACGUGCCAGCAGCCGCGGUAAUACGUAGGGGGCGAGCGUUGCUCGGAUUGACUGGGCGUAAAGCGCGCGUAGGCGGUCCAUUAAGUGUGUGGUGAAAUGCAGAGGCUCAACCUCUGUCCCGCCGCGCAAACUGGUGGUCUUGAGAUUGGAAGGGGGAUGCGGAAUUCCUGGUGUAGCGGUGAAAUGCAUUGAUAUCAGGAGGAACACCGGCGGCGAAGGCGGCAUCCUGGCUUAUAUCUGACGCUGAGGCGCGAAAGCGUGGGUAGCAAACG
rnacentral:rRNA from 1 species